GUUAAUAUUCUUGAGUUGUCACGGUCCCGAGGAGUUUCACCGGAGCGGCGCCCAGGCGGGAUAACCCCUAUUUUCUCCUCAACUUCUUGGGUCAAAACUGGGCAACCACCACCUCAGAAACUGUAAAUACUUUGUGACCGUGCAAAGAACUUAAGCCCGCGUUCUGCCGGCGUCCAUCGGCGGGUUUGCGAAUGUUGCUUGCAGGCAGAACAGGUGCUGGGGAUGUCACUUCUUCAUUCAAAGCUGAUUGUGCAGAAGAGCUUGUGGGAAGUUCAGUCUGAGCAAUUUGCAAAUGGCCCAAGUCUAAAUUUGGGAUAUUAUUCAGGAACACCUACACACCUACAAAACUCCUGCUAGAAGCUGCCCUCCCAUCUCCCCAGGUCUCCAGGGAUGCUGGCGACAUACCACAGAACAGCCACCACCCUCUGUGCUUCCAAACCCAGAAGCACAUCCUGAGCUUUUUCUUUUAUGAAGGCUCUUCCCAAGCACAGGUGUUUCAGUAGGAGGAAAAACUCCUGAAAAAUAUGCUGGAGAAAUAAGUUCUUUAUCUGGACUGUAUUCAAAUGUUGUGCCUACACUGAAUGUGAAGUGACUUUCUGAAUUAGGAACCUUUUUUCUGUGAGUGACUUUACAAAUUCAGGCUUACCUUGAUCAAUAGAAAAUGCUGACAAUCACAACACAGCACCACGUAACCAAAUGUCAUCAAGCAAAAAUAGUCUUUAUUCAAAUUUCAUGGAAACGGGGAUCACUGUACUUUGCAAGACAGGGAAAAAUAAAAUAAAAAAUUUAAUAUAAAACAAGGAUAUUGUCACAAUACCAGAAUAUGGAACUAUAGUUCUUUUCCCUAUAGAUUACUGCAAGUACCUCUAUUUUUUUUUCCUUUUGACUGUGCUAUUCACAACUUCGUUAAGUCCAAAAAAUAUGGAACAAAAGUAGUAUGAAACUUAAGACUUAGCACUUCCACUAAAUGGCAGACAUCAAAGGGCAUCAAUCGAGGGCAAAAUCUGUUGAAUCCAUCAUACCUACCUAUCAGUCAUCACUGCAAUUCCAUAAACCCACCAGGGUGCAGUGCUCAUUCCCUG